UACAGAGGGGGCAAGCGUUGUUCGGAAUUACUGGGCGUAAAGGGCGCGUAGGCGGCCUGCUAAGUCGAACGUGAAAUCCCUGGGCUCAACCCAGGAACUGCGUCCGAUACUGGUUGGCUUGAAUCCGGGAGAGGGACGUGGAAUUCCAGGUGUAGCGGUGAAAUGCGUAGAUAUCUGGAGGAACACCGGUGGCGAAGGCGGCCUGCUGGGCAGUUUAGCUGACACUGAGGCGCGACAGCGUGGGGAGCAAACAGG
rnacentral:rRNA from 1 species